ensembl:misc_RNA 7SK 7SK RNA
GGGUGUGAGAGCACUUUGACUGGGAUGUUUAUACUUUGAUGCCAAGGCUGAUUCUGCUGACCCGGAAGAGUACAUGGGCUUGCUAUUUCUCCACUUCUCCAGGCCUGUUGCUCUCAUUCCUGUGUACUUAGGUGGCAAAAAUCAUGAGCUUCCCAGAGAGAGGUGAACCAGCCUGCAUUCAAGGGAAGAUGUAGUACCAUGCCUCUCUAGCAGAACCUACAGAUGAGCUCUCAGUAGAAAAGGAUAUCCUAGCCAAGGGAAGUCUAGGGCUGUACAAACUAAAAGAAAGGAAAUAAAACACACAUGAAUUUUACUUCUUUUU